rnacentral:rRNA from 1 species
GACGUCCCUAGUUCGGAUUGUAGGCUGAAACUCGCCUACAUGAAGCUGGAAUUGCUAGUAAUCACAGGUCAGCAUACUGUGGUGAAUACGUUCCCGGGCCUUGUACACACCGCCCGUCACACCAUGAGAGUCGGGAACACCCGAAGUCCGUAGUCUAACCGCAAGGGGGGCGCGGCCGAAGGUGGGUCCGGUAAUUGGGGUGAAGUCGUAACAAGGUAAC